ACAAGCCAAAUGCGCACGCAUAUCUUAUAGGACGAAGAGGGCAGAAAAGGGCUCAAGCAGCGGGGAAAAAAAAAAAGGCAGAUCAAUAUGUAGCAUCUCCGUUUCCGCGGACGGCCGAGGAGAUAACUUCCGCGCGGAAGCACCGCGCUGACAAGACCAGACCGAUCGGCCCUGCCGACAACGCCGAACGUUGCAACGGAUAAGGCGUGGCAAAAUGGAUCGACUGGGCACCAGCCGGUGACAGUCCCACGCCUACCGCGAACUUCCUGUCGGCGAGCGACCGACGGCGCUCGACGGAAAGCGAACACAGCUGCGGGCUACGUGUUGUUAGAUAUGGCGCCGUUUCCUGAGGCUACUUCGAGUUCCCCAGACCACAUCGGAUGGCAGCACAGCUAAUUGAGGAAUGCAGAAGCAGGAAGCGCAUUCCAGAGAAGCGGCCGAGCAAACAAGUUUAAGGCAACAAGUUUACGUGCCAACAAGUUCGUGCGCCGCCGGGAUUAGCAGGUGGGCAUCCGACAAUGAAGCAGGUGCAGCCCUCCCCUUCUCUUUGUUCGAAGUGCAUUGCCAGUCUGCGAUGCAAGACCGCAGCAAGCCGCCAGGUGUGACACCACGACACGGGCGCCUACCAUUGGCUGAAAGUGGCGUCAUCGGAGUGGACUCUCCCAUUGGUGAAACAUGACGUGACUUACAGUGCUCGAAGGGUUUAUAAGAAGCCUUCCAGAGAGACCUGAGCAUUCUGGGACAUGCCCUGAUUCCCUGAUUCACCUCUCUCGAACUUCUUGCCGCGGGCCGCAGCGUCCGAGUUGCUGCCGGCCCGUAAUGUCUGUACGACUGUUAAUUGACGCUCACCUCUCUUGUACAUAAUGUAGAAUAAAUCCCUCCCAAGUUUGGUUUUCAUCCGCGAAGUCCGUCCUCCAACCCCUACAUCUGGUUGGCAGCGGUAGGAUCGCCUCCGAAUGCAUCAGCUGGUGGCAGCGCUACGAAUCAACCUUCGUCGAGAGAGAUCGUAAGGAACCGGGAAGAGCGAAGAAGAGAGAGCCUUCGUCGAAAGAGGUCCGAAGAAACUGGGAGUAGCGAAGAAGGAGCGAGCCUUCGACCCAGGGAGUCCGGAGGAACCGGCAACAGCGGACGAAUGAACCGGAUGGCAGGGUGCUGUAACCGGCCCAGGAUCCCGAGGGUUGUCAAACGUGGCUCGACCCCAGUACCCUGCAGCUUCUUUCAGCGUUCCUCAUGGCCAGCGAAUUGAGUUCACCGGCCAUUCAGAACUACCGGGGCGAGGACGAGCUGUUAGAUAUGGCGCCGUUUCCUGAGGCUACUUCGAGUUCCCCAGACCACAUCGGAUGGCAGCACAGCUAAUUGAGGAAUGCAGAAGCAGGAAGCGCAUUCCAGAGAAGCGGCCGAGCAAACAAGUUUAAGGCAACAAGUUUACGUGCCAACAAGUUCGUGCGCCGCCGGGAUUAGCAGGUGGGCAUCCGACAAUGAAGCAGGUGCAGCCCUCCCCUUCUCUUUGUUCGAAGUGCAUUGCCAGUCUGCGAUGCAAGACCGCAGCAAGCCGCCAGGUGUGACACCACGACACGGGCGCCUACCAUUGGCUGAAAGUGGCGUCAUCGGAGUGGACUCUCCCAUUGGUGAAACAUGACGUGACUUACAGUGCUCGAAGGGUUUAUAAGAAGCCUUCCAGAGAGACCUGAGCAUUCUGGGACAUGCCCUGAUUCCCUGAUUCACCUCUCUCGAACUUCUUGCCGCGGGCCGCAGCGUCCGAGUUGCUGCCGGCCCGUAAUGUCUGUACGACUGUUACUUGACGCUCACGCCUCCCUGUAUAUAAUAUGAGAAUAAAUCCUCCCAAGUUGUUGGUCUUCA